GUGGAGGUGGCGGAGUUGGGCACGCACGGAACUUUGAACAAUAUGUAACGGAUGGGACCCGCGUUACAUAUUGCUCAAAGUUCCGGACGGGGGUUCAAAUCCCUCCCUCCACA